rnacentral:rRNA from 1 species
AAACAUGGCUUAUUGUUAUUAAUUUUAGGUCAAUCUGCUCAAUGAUAAUUAAAUAGCUGCAGUAUAUCUGACUGUACAAAGGUAGCAUAAUCAAUUGUCUUUUAAUUGAAGGCUGGAAUGAAGGAAUUAAUGAAAUAUAUACUGUCUCAAUUAUAAUUAAUGAAAUUAAAUUUUUAGUAAAAAUGCUAAAAUAUUUUUAUGGGACGAUAAGACCCUAUAGAAUUUUAUAUUAAUAAUUAAUUAAUUAUUAAUAUUUUUUAUUAUUUAAUUAUUAAUAUUUGAUUGGGAGGAUUAUUAAAUUUAUUAAACUUUAAUUUUAUAAUUUCUAUGAUGUUAGGAUAAAUUAAAGAUAUUUAUUAAAAAAUUAAAAAUAAAAUUACCUUAGGGAUAACAGCGUAAUAUUCUUUUGAGAGAUCUUAUUGAUAAAGAUGAUUGCGACCUCGAUGUUGAAUUAAGAUAAAUUUUAAAUGCAGGAGUUUAAAUAUUAAGUUUGUUCAACUUUUAAAAUCUUACAUGAUUUGAGUUCAGAUCGACGUGAGUCAG